GACGAACGCUGGCGGCGUGCUUAACACAUACAAGUCGAACGAAGAGCGACGGAAGCUUGCUUCUAUCAAUCUUAGUGGCGAACGGGUGAGUAACGCGUAAUCAACCUGCCCUUCAGAGGGGGACGACAGUUGGAAACGACUGCUAAUACCGCAUACGAUCUAAUCUCGGCAUCGAGGAUGGAUGAAAGGUGGCCUCUACAUGUAAGCUAUCACUGAAGGAGGGGAUUGCGUCUGAUUAGCUAGUUGGAGGGGUAACGGCCCACCAAGGCGAUGAUCAGUAGCCGGUCUGAGAGGAUGAACGGCCACAUUGGGACUGAGACACGGCCCAGACUCCUACGGGAGGCAGCAGUGGGGAAUCUUCCGCAAUGGACGAAAGUCUGACGGAGCAACGCCGCGUGAGUGAUGACGGCCUUCGGGUUGUAAAGCUCUGUUAAUCGGGACGAAAGGCCUUCUUGCGAAUAGUGAGAAGGAUUGACGGUACCGGAAUAGAAAGCCACGGCUAACUACGUG
rnacentral:rRNA from 1 species